AGAGUUUGAUCCUGGCUCAGGACGAACGCUGGCGGCGUGCCUAACACAUGCAAGUCGAGCGGGAACCUCAGGAGGGGUAACCCUUCUGGGGGGAGAGCGGCGAACGGGUGAGUAACACGUGGGCAACCUGCCCCGGACACCGGGAUAACCCAGGGAAACCUGAGCUAAUACCGGAUACUCCGGCGCGAUCGCAUGGUCGCGCCGGGAAAGCUCCGACGGUCCGGGAUGGGCCCGCGGCCUAUCAGCUUGUUGGUGGGGUAACGGCCCACCAAGGCGACGACGGGUAGCUGGUCUGAGAGGACGGCCAGCCACACUGGGACUGAGACACGGCCCAGACUCCUACGGGAGGCAGCAGUGGGGGAUCUUGCGCUAAUGCGCGAAAGCGUGACGCAGCGACGCCGCGUGGGGGAUGAAGGCCUUCGGGUUGUAAACCCCUUUCGGCAGGGACGAAGGGAAACUGACGGUACCUGCAGAAGAAGUCCCGGCUAACUACGUGCCAGCAGCCGCGGUAAU
rnacentral:rRNA from 1 species